GACAGAGGGUGCAAACGUUGUUCGGAAUUACUGGGCGUAAGCGAGUGUAGGCGGUCUCAUAAGUCAGGGUGUGAAAGCCCCGGGCUCAACCCGGGAAGUGCACUUGAAACUGCGAGGCUAGAGUAUCGGAGAGGUUGGUGGAAUUCUCGGUGUAGAGGUGAAAUUCGUAGAUAUCGAGAGGAACACCGGUGGCGAAGGCGGCCAACUGGACGAAUACUGACGCUGAGACUCGAAAGCGUGGGGAGCAAACAG
rnacentral:rRNA from 1 species